AUGGGGGCGGCCAGCCAACAUGCACUGCCAGGAGGUGCCAGCAGGUGGCACUCGAACACUUCAUUUAUCCAGUUUCUGGCCGAGUCCUUAAAGAGGAUGCCUACUGAUAUCUGGCAGCAAGAGGAAGAGGGACAAAGAAACUGACACCAAAGAGCAGGUGCGAUGUCAGCAAGGGUAAUUGUCUGAAGCUGCGUGGCGCAUGUAAACAAAUCGUGCAUCCUUCAAAGUGCUUAUGUCUACAGCACAUUAUGAGAACUGAUGGCCAUCAGGAUGCUUGGUGUUCAGUUAGGGACCAGAGCGAAUAGUGAAGAACAGACUCUGGAUCUAGACUUCCUGAGGUUCGCUCCCACCCUGGCACACAGCAGCUGAUGGUGGUCUGUGGCAUAGGCUACUGUAGGAAUGGAGCGGUC
rnacentral:lncRNA from 1 species